AUAGAGAAAUUUAGGCACCAGCUAGCUAGAAAGGUCCAUGGCCCAUCAGCAGCAUCUCCUCGUUGUCAUCUUGGUGUCCUCCAUCCUUUAUGUGGCCUCCUUAGCGACAGUGUACGACAUCCUCCAACAGAACAACCUACCACGAGGCCUCAUUCCUCAGGGACUGACAUAAACGUGCCCUUGCAUAGCGGGUGUAACUUCGUUGUCACCAUCGCAGGAUCGCAGUACAAAUUUCAAUUUGACAGCAAAUUCGUGGGGCUCAUCAAGCCAGGGUCAAUCUGUGUGGUGAAUGGCGCGAAGAUUAACCUUCAGGUUAGGUACACGCUGGAGGUGAUCGUCCAGGUCGACCUCACUCUGCCGCACCAGACUCUUGCCAUUGAUAAGAACACAUUGAACAAGCCGCCCGAAGGCCACAAGGAGAGAAGAAGAUCAAUGAUAAUUUCUUCUGAUCCGGCCAAUUCAAGGGGGCUCUGCACCGUGUUCCUCAACAAGAAAAGAUGCGCCGCCAUCGGGAAUCCUUCUGUACCACACCGCCAAGCACGGAUCCUGCGCCAUCUGCUCUCUAAUGUGCGGACAAGGAGGAUGUGA
rnacentral:lncRNA from 1 species